ACGUAAUAGAUACCCCGGUAGUCCACGCCCUAAACGAUGUCUACUAGUUGUCGGGUUUUAAUUAACUUGGUAACGCAGCUAAACGCGUGAAAGUAGACCGCCUGGGGAGUACGGUCGCAAGAUUAAAACUCAAAGGAAUUGACGGGGACCCGCACAAGCGGUGGAUGAUGUGGAUUAAUUCGAUGCAACGCGAAAAACCUUACCUACCCUUGACAUGGCAGGAAUCCCGAAGAGAUUUGGGAGUGCUCGAAAGAGAACCUGCACACAGGUGCUGCAUGGCUGUCGUCAGCUCGUGUCGUGAGAUGUUGGGUUAAGUCCCGCAACGAGCGCAACCCUUGUCAUUAGUUGCUACGAAAGAGCACUCUAAUGAGACUGCCGGUGACAAACCGGAGGAAGGUGGGGAUGACGUCAAGUCCUCAUGGCCCUUAUGGGUAGGGCUUCACACGUCAUACAAUGGUACAUACAGAGGGCCGCCAACCCGCGAGGGGGAGCUAAUCCCAGAAAGUGUAUCGUAGUCCGGAUUGUAGUCUGCAACUCGACUAC
rnacentral:rRNA from 1 species